UGCCUGCGCUUCACGUCCGUGCUGCGACACAGCCGCCUCCAGCCGGCGCACCGGGACGGCCUCAGCCAGGCCCCACCUGCCUGCCGCCCGCCGCUUGUCUCACCUCUGCGCUCCGGCCGUGCCUCGGCCCAGCCGGGAGAAUCGCCUCGGGUGUGUGGCCAGCAAGCCAGCACCAUGGCUCAUAGCCCUGUGCCAGGCAGCUGCUGCAGCCGGGAAUCCCUGGGGACCUCCGGGCGCGGUGCCUGGGGAACGCUUGCCCGUUAACUUGAGUGGGCCCAACGGGGCCUCCGCGGGAGCCCUGCGGGCGCAGGCUGCCACCACCCCCGCUCCUCUUACCUCAGAAAGGCACUGCUAGAGUUUCUCCAACAUUCAGCUGCCAAUUCCUGACGCUGGGGAGUGCUCUCUUUCUGCCCUCAUGGGCUGCUGCAUCGUCGCCAGGGCCACACCUGAGAGCCUCAGCCCGGCCAGGCUGCGUCAGUGCAGGCAGCUCAGGCAGCGACGCCACCGCUCUCGGAGGGGCCUGCAGCACAGCCCCAUGGGUUUGUUUGACUGGAUGCUCGCAAACAGUUAUUUGUGUCGGGGCAGCAAGCCACCUGAACAAGGCACUGACUGAAGAGCAAAGAACCCUCCUUGCCAUUUGAGCUGAAGAUGGAGACCUUUUGUUUCUGCACACAGCUGAGGCUGGUGCUGACAUCACGGUGCUUCAGCCUCUCUGGAGGCCAGGGUUAGCUCACUCCCUAGGCCAGUCACUCAGCCAUCUUCCUGCUGACAGCUGGAGUCCAUGCCUGUGACAAAGGGCUGUGGGAUGGAGAGUUUGUAGCUGGUUAUUGCUGAAUUUGCUUCACGUUGGCCACAGAGCAACACAGUGCUUGAGAUGGACAUUUAACCUCCAAUAAAUGGUAUCACCCUCCAAACUGUCCUGUGGCUGAUCCCACUGCUGAUUGCUGGUUCAGCUCUCACAGUGUGCUGGUGGAGCGCUCUAUUUCUCGAAACAAAGUGCUCUUCCUUGCUCUGUUGGCAUUGUUUUGUGAGCCAUUUGGUUUGAAGUACAACUCUUUUCCCCACAAAGAGCAAGAAUACAAAUCCCAUGUCCAGCAGUGCUGACAUUUGUGCACAGAGAUGUGCUUUCUAUUGUGCUUUUCUUUCUGUCUCUCUUUCUUGUCCAGUGGAAAGUGUAGGUGAUUCCAGGCAAGUAUCCUCUAGCGACACUACAGAAAUAGGCUGAAAACUGGAAAUACAUCCUAGUGUUGCCAGGGAAAUGAUGGGUUCUUGGUUUCUUACUUUUGCCUUUUUUUUAACCUAAGUGAUCUCAAAAGAAAAAACAAACAAACAAAAAAAACCACCCAACAAACCAAAACCCCCAAAGGUCUGAUAAGCAGAGAUUAAACUCAGGUGCAACAGCAGCUGUACUUUUCUCCACCUGGGCACGGGAUGGCAAGUGCAGGGUGAGCCUGCUCUGGCAGAGCGGCUGGACUUGACUGGUUCUGCCAUCCCUUGAGUUCUCCUACCUCUGUCAUUCGCCUUUUUAGAGCCCACCACUGGGGCAAGCGACUGCCUCCUGCUGCAGCAAGCGCUGGUGUCCACUGUGCGACAGUUUGGAGCAGGACAAUGCCAGCUGUGAGUCUUCGCUGAUGCCCAGGAGGGCUUCCCACUGAGUACUGCCGUUGAGCCAGGGCUGAAGGGCCACAGGCAGACCGAUUGCCCGGCUGGUGCCCGCGGCUGCGGGGCGGGCCGGAGCACUGCCCCACGGCGCCAUCUAGCAGCCGCGGGGAGCUUUGCAGCAGCUCUUGCUCCGCGUGGGGACUCGGACCUCACCCCGCGCUUCACACAGCCACGCAGACGGUGGCGGCCAGGAAAAA